GAUGAAGAACGCAGCGAAAUGCGAUACGUAAUGUGAAUUGCAGAAUUCAGUGAAUCAUCGAAUCUUUGAACGCGCAUUGCGCCUGCCAGCACUCUGGCAGGCAUGCCUGUUCGAGCGUCAUUUCAACCAUCAAGCCCUAGGCUUGCGUUGGAGCCCUGCGGCUGCCGCAGGCCCCUAAAAGCAGUGGCGGGCUCGCUAUCACACCGAGUGCAGUAGAUUACUCUUCGCUCAGGGCGUGUGGCGGGUUCCAGCCGUGAAACCCCCUACUACUCAAGGUUGACCUCGGAUCAGGUAGGAAUACCCGCUGAACUUAAGCAUAUCAAUAAGCGGAGGA
rnacentral:misc_RNA from 1 species